ensembl:lncRNA
AUGCUCUGGUCGCAGGGGCGCCUUGCUGGCAGAGGCACUGGGGUUGGCGUUGGAAAGGGAGGGCAGAUUCAUUUGGUGUCGGAAAGGGGGACAGGAUUUGUGCUUGGCAUUGGAAAGGGGGGGACGCGUUGGCGUUGGAAAGGGGGACGAAGUUACUUUAUCACUGGCUCCUGCAGGUUCGAGGCAGCUGCUGAACGUGACUUUAAACUUUUACCCCGACUUUUUUCCAGUUGGAUUUUUCUAGCUCAGUUCCCAUGCUCCAAAGCCAAAGUUAGUGGGCUCGACAGCUCAAACCAUCCUUUGGAGACGUAUCGCUCGGGCCAGGGUUCGCCGCGCGGGAGCCGUCGCCCUCCUGCUCUCAGGCUGGGCCAGCCCAGGUCAAGCCUCAGCAAGCAACACAUCUACGGUGUUUGGUUGCGUUAUCGGGUGCUGGUGUUUUCACGCCAAGAUGUGAAAUGCUGCAGAGGAAGGGCUUUUUUGGGCGCGCACAAACAAGGAGCUCUUUGGUGACUGUCACUGCCACCUUCGGAUGCCACCUGAAAGGAGAGACAUCACGUUGUGCUGGGAACUCAUUAGCGGGGCUAAGUCUAACCAGCACUUGAACAGAGGCUCCAGAGCACAAGGAAUGGAGAAAAGGUGAGGAAAACUGCUUUAUAGUAAGGUGGAACAGGAAAAACAACUGCUUAUUAAUGCUGCUUUCUGGAUGUAGCUUGGCAUUUGCACGUCGCAUAGGUCACUGAUCAGAGGCACCUCGAUGCAGAAAAACACCAGCUCCCAUGCGGUGGGAGGGCUGACAGGACACGUUAUGUUGUUGCAAGUAGCGACUGUCAAAAGAGGUUAGAGUAAAAUUCUCACUUUUCGCAGCCACUUUUGUAGUAUGUGUUAAGUCCCUGCGGCAUUUUUGACAAGCGAAAGAAUGUCUUCCCUAGGCAAAUACUGUUUCUUCAAUAUUAUAAAAACAGUUACAGGCAUUCAUUCUGUAGUUUGUGUGCCUAGCUCAUAAAUACACAGAGUACACCCUGCCUAACGGGAUUCACCCUGUAGCAGUUACUUUCCACAUGUGCACUUCUGAAAAAAAAAACACCAAACACAUUAUUUUCAUACCUGUAAUUUGAUUCUGCAUACACUAAAGGAAAUCUGAAAAACACUAUUGGGAUUAUUUAGAAGUGUUAUAUGGAUUAUAUAAGCUUGUCUGAUCUUCAGAGAACAGGUAAUUAUAUUUUAGAAUUAAAUGAUAAAACAUUCAGAUGUUUCUUAAAUAAGUUUCUAGAGGCUUCGCAUGACAGCCAGCAAAUAACUAGUAUUGCCAGAUUGUGUCUAAAGCUUUUGCAUUUAAUUUCAUCCUGUGGAAGUAUUCUUAGUUUCAUAACAUAACAUUCGCAUAAGGCAACUUGACCUCCAGUGAAUGUCCCUAUCCUGCCACUAAAUACAUACAUUUUGGAUAUAUAUUUCAUCAAACAUUUUAUUUACAAUGUUAUUUUAAAAGUAUUUUUAACACUCAUUCCUUAGGUAACCAUUAAAAAAAAUAGCAUUGCUUCAUAAAACAAUUGUUCUUCAUUAUAUUGCUACCAUGUAUAUUACUGAAAUAUGCUGGAUCUCCUGGUGAAGCGUUUUAUUACUCUUUGGAAAGAGAUUAUAUUUGGCAGCAGCUUUCAUACAGUAUUCCCCCCCCCCUGCCCCCCCGCAGUUAGAGAGUUAUACUCUUACAAUUGAUUUUAUGAACAAAAAUGAAGAGGAGAAAUCAGGUUACAAAAUCUUAACAGCAGGUGAAUUUAAGUAGCUGGUAUCUCCAGAGGGCUUAUGGCAAGUCUCCUUUUUGCUUCACAGAUAUGAUUUUCUCCAUAUGCCAUUCAUUUUGGCUAAAUGGUUUUGUCAUCAGUCAACCAUCACUUAAUUUCAGCUACAGAAGCCUAAACAAAGAAGAAAAUGUUCUCACUGUAAUGAAUCUCCUGUUGAGAACCUACAUUAGCUAGUAAAUGGUUAUUUUCCCUGUUCAUUUUAAUGAAUUAUUCAUACACCAAAAAAAAACCUUUUUCAGGAAUAAAGACUUUAAAAUAUUAAAAUCA